rnacentral:lncRNA from 1 species
ACGCUCUUCAUAUUGUCUCUACCCGAAAAUUUCUCUAAAUUCGCAAGAUGAUUUCCCAAUUCCUCAAGAGACAGGUCCUCCUUUUUGGUGUUUCAGACUAUUUUUAAGUCUGUUCCACGUUGAUCGGCAGUUUGCCAUGAUGGCAGAAAACAACAAUUGAUCCAUUCCAUUAUCAUGAUUUUGUUGAUUAAAUUGAUCAAGGAUAUGAAUGAGUUCAUAAAACGUGCUAAACCACAGAACGAGAAUCAACCAUUUAAAUUAAAAAAUGUAGAAGCAAGGAACUUUCGUACUGGUGGUGUCCUCUGUUAAAAUAUUAGCCGCAAGGGCAUCACAAAGUUCCUUAGCUUGUUCUGCUACACAUCAAAACAAACGGAAUGUGACAUUUGUAUGAAGGAUGUCGGCCUUUGAUUAGAUAUAGUCAUCUUUUGUUCCCAAUUGAGCUGGGUCUGUGACUCAGCCAUAGUCUCGUUUUCAUUUACAGCAGUUUGGGAGUGGUGAGAACAUAAACAACCUUCAAACUGAAAGAAGAAAUGCAUCUUCUUUUGCAGCGCCUGACAUUGCCCCCAUGGAAUCGCUCAAGUUGACAAAGUCAGCAGUGAAAUGCCGAAGAGAAGCAAUAAUAACGCUUAAGAAUGUUGGAGCAAAAAUCACAAAAUUAUGAGAAUGCUUCAAAGGACAAUCACGAUGUCGCUUCCUUAAGCGUUCAUUCGCCCCACCAAUUCUGCGAGAAGGUAUGCACCGGGUGCGUUCACAACGAAUCGCUUUCUAGAAUAAAAUGAAGCCCUCCGGAAUUUUAAUCUGAGUUUUGACUGCGGUUUUGCACAAAUAAAAUCAAACAAAAAAUUUAGGAUUUUUCUAGGGAGCCACGAAUCUGAAAUCUGUUUCUGCAGGAAAAGAGAGUUUAGGGGAAUAAGUAAUAAAAUUUAAUUUUGAUAGACGAAAAAAGAGAAGUUUGAAUCAAGUGAUUUCUAACUUGCUGCGAAAAAAUCCUGUAAAUUUAUAGAUAGAAUGGUGCCUUUUUAUGAAAAGGGAUUGGAAAGAAGAGGACUGGAGAUUCAAAACUAAUAGGUCACAUUUUAAUUGUCAUUUAUAACAGUUAACAUGAGGUUUAAUCAUGUCAAGCAGCUCACACCCUUUAGUAUUCGGACACACGAUUUGGUGUAGUCGCACCUAUUCAAGAUAACUAAUCAAAAAAGGGCCGUUUUAUCACCUCUUAUUAAGUAGAUGUGAUUCCACACUACGAUCAUGUUAAUUUCUUUAAUAGUAACAGAGUAUACGAUCGUUGUGAUCAUCAUGAAUAAAAAAAUCAACAGUAAAAGUGCGCCACGUGUCCAAGUGCGCCACAAAUCUCCACAUUGCGCCACGCUGAGCGCGUGUGCGGACAGUUCGACACCGUACCAUACCUGUGCAACACUUACACCCAAACAUAGGCCGUAGCAAAACAAGACAAACAAGUCAUUAAUGACCCCUUUAACAAGUACAAUAUCUUUUCAACUUCCUCCUCUUUUUUUAUAUGUGGAACUCCCAAAAACUUCCAAAACAUAAUACAUAUAUACAUAUAUUUGAAAAUAUUGGAACAAUCUCCCACCAUUUUCAAAAUUAUAAUAAAAUUUCUUGGGUAGACUAGGAAGACAUGCAUAAAUAAAGGGUGUCUUAUGGACUUGAACCUUCACUUGGUGAUGACACAUCAAAAUUAAACAAGAUGGCCUUAGUAAGACAAGCUGUGAACUAGCGAUCCUUAUUGGUUAAACCGGGUAGGCUCACAAUAAAAAUGUAUUUUUACGUCCAUUUGGUGAUUUUAAUUUAUAUAUUAGAUGCUAAUGCAAUAAGUAAACGAAAUAGGUGAUACGAGCAAAUGAGCAUAAGUGUACAAAAUAUUCUAAUCUCAUUUUGUUUGAACUUUUAAGCCACUAGAUCUUGCCUUAAAACUUAUAAAUGUACAUCUAUUUUAUUUUCUUUCUAAAGAUAGUUUACAACAUGGAUUAGAACCAAGGUGGUAAACCAGACUGUACCCUGUAGGGUUUACUAAGCCACACACAAUAGGUCAAAUCCCACAUUCUUACAGGCAAGAUAGAAACCCCAAAAGCAGUUGAACAAAGAUUUAAAAAAACAGCAAAGCAUUUCAAGAAUCCAGCUAAAGCCCCAUGUUCAUGGUUUAAGAUUUAAUCCUUCAAAGAGAAAUAGAAUCAGGAUGCUUAAAGAGAUGCAUAUACAAUAAACAAUGCCAAGUAAAAUUAAAAAAGAAAAAUACCCACUUGAGAUAGCCUAUAAAAUAAACAGAAAGACAGGGUUUUACCCCAUCUCUAAUUCAUCUACCAUUGAGGAGACACAGCCAUGGAGCUCUUAAGCAACAAUUGUUAUUGAUAGUUCUGAUCCUCUUUGUUAUAGCUCAGUAUAAUCCGGGCCCGGACUACUCACCUGCUUCAACACAAGAGCCAUGCUUUCGCCAAAAGCUGCUUGCCAAGUGAAUGCCCAACCCCAUAUCACAUGACCCGGAACUAAAGAUUUACUAUGUAAAUGAGAUUCUCCCAAUCUGCAGCUGAGUGCAAACGUAAGAUACCCUUCGCCUAAUAGAUAACAUUCGUAUUACAAACGUUGUUUCUCGAUGUGAUUAAGGUGUAGAAACUCUAACUUCCUUAUGUCCUAUACCACAGGUCGCCAAACCUAGUUCCAAGGACCCUGGAGCGCGUGCUGGACCCUCGGUUAAUUGGUGCAAACGGCACAGUCUUCUACUUCCAUGGGAAGAGCAACGAGCAUUCAGCUUGGUUUCAGAGAUCAAUAUCAAGAAUCAUGCUCGUUUCAUCGGCCUAAGGCCCGAGGGUAGACCCCAAGACUACACAUGGAUUCACGCACUAGGAAUCCUAUUUGACUCUCACAGGGUCUGUGUGAUGCCACCAGGCAUCAACGUGGGAUGACGAGGUCGACCUAUGAAAGUUCUCCUACACUGGAAAGGAGCUAGUUAUACCCGAGGGCUAACCAUCAUGGGAAAUCCCAGAAAUGACCUAAGAGUCGAGAGACAUAAAGCAAGAACAGUGUUAUUGUCACUCCAGGAAGUUGCAGAGAUUUCGACUCAAUGUGACCAAGGAAGAUGACAUAGUCAUAAAUACGUACCUUCAGAUGACUGCUUGCUCCCCAAAGUAGACCCGGUACAGUAUAGUUCUAUGAAUCUAGGGCCUCUCCUCAAGGUUGAAGGUGUGCGUUGGCAAGACUUACCAGCAGAUUUUUUUUAAGAAUCCGGACAAAGCUGGGUGUUGCAAAGCCAGUGGUAGGAGGUGAAUUGAAAAACAAGUAUAGAAACCAACAUAACUUAUCUCUGAGAUUGGGGUUCUUGUAUGUUUUCUCAGUUGGGGUUUGGUUCUCGACAAGGAUGAUUCACUGGGUGAUGGAUUUUGGCACACGAGAUUGCAUUGAGUGAGGCAGUAGUGUGAAGGGACGUUUGCAGGGAGGAAAUGAGUACCCAAAUGCAUUAUUUCUCAAAAUGAAAUUUUGGGAGAGGAUAUGAAUGUAUCCUCUGUUCUGUCUUCAGUAAGCAUUUUCAGUUUGUUGCUUUGCUUAGUUUUAUAUAUUUUCCAGAGAUCGAAAUAUUAGUAUUUCAGAUUUGAAUCUUGUUUUCCACCAGCAACCAAAUUUCAUGGUACUCGAAUGGUUAGAAGAAGGAAUCAGAAUGAUAAAUGUAGGGUGGAAACCCUAAUGAUGACUUAAAAAAGGAAAGAUAAAGAUGGAAGCGAACAUAAUACAGACCCAAAAAACAAAGGGAGAAGUGCCAUAACGCAUUCUAUGGCAUACCCCUAAUAUGGGACAAAAGCAAGAGAAAAGGGCUUUAACCGUAUCUGUACUGGUGAUUAUGUCUAUCUAGCGGCAAUUAAGCCAAUAUAUUGGCAAAUAUUGAAAUUCUGGGGUGGUAAACGGCCAAAUGUAACAUCAGGCCGAUAUUUAGACCUUGGCAAGGAAAACCAGCUGGUACAGAUAGGACAUUCAGAGAAGUUACAGAAAAUAUUAUUAUACCUUAACUUGGUCAGAAAGGGUAAACCCCAUGCGGUUUUGAACUAGUGUUCAGGCAUAGGAAAUUGGAGGUCUGCAACUUUCCAAAAUCUAUAUGUUCGAAACAGCUAAGUGCUGUCAAUUCCUAAGUGGGUCAGUCCAAUGCGGGCUUAAUCGGAUCUACGAUUAGAUAUCCAGUAUGAUUGAUCCUUCUUGAUUAGUCGUCCUUGGGCUUAGAUCCCACAAAUUAUAAAAAAAUAAAAAAACUUGUUUGGAAGCGUAGGAAAUAAAUGUCAUACAUUAAUACAUACCGCGAUGAGCCAGAGAAUACUUUCUUUUGAACAUUGUCAAACAUUAUUCUAAAGGUUUCCUGGUGUUUUCGGGGCAUUUCUUGAUUAUAUUUCUUUCUUUUUCAGGAAAAUGCACAGAACUUUAGCAAUGACAUUAGAAGCCUCCUUGAUAUUACGCAUGUCAAUAGUUUUAAGCAAUGCAUAAACAGCAGAUCAGCAAGAGUUCUCAUCAAAAAAGAAAGACUCAAGCAGCUCCAACCACAAAAACAAAAUUAUAAUAAUAAUCUUUCUGAUUCCUCUGUCCUUCUCUGUUUCUUCUUUUUGUUAACAAUCAAUUAUACAAGUCAUAUAAUCCAUAACCAACAACCGGGGAAACUACGUCAACGAUAACAUGAAAAUGUGGCAUUUGAUAUUCUAUUGAUCCAAAUUGAAAACAAUUAUACAACCGUGGUAAUUACCAACCCCAAGGUUUGUGGAGUCUUGUGGCUUCACCAUUCUACAGUGAAAUACAUGACCAAAUACGACAUUAUAAUAAAAGAAAAUUGAUUGUAUAAAACCAGAACCAAAAUAAAUAAAAAUAGAAAAGAAAAACCUUCCCUGGGAGACUGUCCAAUCACUCUUGCAAGCCCAGAAAACCCAUCCUUCUUGCAAGAUAUCCAAUGGCAGAGAAAUCACAAAGAUUUAGAACAACGUUCUCAUAUCCACGAGGAUUUACCAGCUGCGAGGAAA